UUUUUAGGGCCAAAGACGCGUGCGCCCGAGCCAUGGAGGCGCUCGCCCCGACCCCGCCUUCCUCCGCUACCUUGCCGCGCCGGCUGGCCUCACCGGAGAUCACCACCACCGUGACUAGGUCACGUCGCCGCACCUGCCUUCUCCUCCUCCCUCUCCUUCAUCCUUCCCUCCCAUCAUUUUCUCUCCCUCUCAUUGCAGCGCCGCCAUGGCUGCCCCAAGGUUCGCCGGCAGCCGCGCCCACUUCCCUCCGGCCACAACUCCAGCGGGAUCCGGCCGCCCCUGCCCGGAUCCGCAUCCUCCGCUCCGCCGCGCCCCGGAUCUGGCCACCACCAAGCCUCCCACGCCGAUCCGCCCGUCCGCCGGCCUCCCCCUGCUUGAUCCGGGUGGACGGGUGAAGUUUCUGACUUGCCAUUGGAGUUGACCUGAAGCUCCGUUGGGGAGGAGCAUUGUCGCUGCUACAGAUUAGGGAGGAGGGUCGAGGCAGCCACGAAUUCCAUCCUGCACUACUUCAACACCGGCCUAUUCUUGCAUGAAUCUUCUGCCGUGAGGAUUUAAUGCAGCAAGGGCCAUUUGUUUGACAGAAAUAGAGUUGUUACCGCAAGAGAGGUACAAAUCAAGGACCGAGGAGGAAUGCGUGUGGAUUUGAUCUAGAUGAUGUGAUUGCUUUGUUAUUUCAUUUAAUUAAUAGAAAAAUUGAUGAGGCAAUUGGAAGAAUCAAGCAGCAAUUUUACUACAGAUCUGCGCCAUUGAUUUGGUCAUCUUUGUCACUAGCAAGUUGCAUAAGAAAGAGUGUGGCGUUGCAGAGGCGUGUACAAUUGUGAGUCCCACAGUUAUAGAGCGGAUCCAGGUGAAAGAUGUAGGUGGUGUGCGGAUUGAACUCUAGAUCGGGAACCUGCAGUACUAGAUGGACGAUAACUAUGCUUACAAUUGUCGACCGGACACUUUGAGAUCGAUGUACUUUGUCCGUCUUUCCUUCACCAAAGCAUGCGUUGUGAGAUCAUGAUUGCUACCAGGUACAACAUUGCAAUUUAUUUUCCAGAAUGUUCCUUGAACACACUCCCAAGUUCCCAACCAUCAGCAAUUAUAGUCUCCUCAAUUCAGAUGUAUAGGAAUGCAACUUUUAUCCGAGAAUGUGCAACAAAAGCAUGUUGUUUGUAUCUGUUGACCAUUGAAAUCCCAAGACCAAUGCAUGGAGAAGUAGCCUGUGAACCCUAAGUUAUUUCUGGAGAAAUUAAACCACAUAUUUGACUACUUAUUGAUCUCCGAGCUCUAUAAUAAUAUUAUCCUUAAUCUGUUUUUUGUGAAGACAGAGGAUGAGAAAGAAACAGUAUCCAGGACCGUGUACUAUACUAACAUUGUAAUUAUGGGUCCGUGCCACCUAUUUCUA